UGUAUAUUUGUCUUCGAUGAAAAGGGAAACAGGUGAGAAUCCUGUGCGAACUCGUCACCGUAAUAAGGGAGUAAUGGCCGCUAUAUCACUGGGAGACCGGGAAGAUGGCCGGAGCGCUGAUCUUUGAGUCGGGAGACCUGCCCGGAAAU
rnacentral:ncRNA from 1 species